UGGCGGCGUGUUUAACACAUGCAAGUCGAACGGUAAGGCCCUUCGGGGUACACGAGUGGCGAACGGGUGAGUAACGCGUGAGUAACCUGCCCUUCACUCUGGGAUAACAGUUGGAAACGGCUGCUAAUACCGGAUAUUCAGCUCCUGUCGCAUGGUGGGGGUUGGAAAGUUUUGGUGGUGGAGGAUGGGCUCGCGUCCUAUCAGCUUGUUGGUGGGGUGAUGGCCUACCAAGGCGUCGACGGGUAGCCGGCCUGAGAGGGCGACCGGCCACAUUGGGACUGAGAUACGGCCCAAACUCCUACGGGAGGCAGCAGUGGGGAAUAUUGCACAAUGGGCGGAAGCCUGAUGCAGCAACGCCGCGUGCGGGAUGACGGCCUUCGGGUUGUAAACCGCUUUCAGCAGGGACGAAACGUGAGUGACGGUA
rnacentral:rRNA from 1 species